CUUGUUUUGCAGCCCGACCUUUUCUCCUCCGUCCAGCCACCUCCAGACGUCACACUGGAGUAGUUCGGCUCGUCUCGGAUGUGCGAAUCAUAGCGCGGUCGCUCCGACUCGAAAGACCGGCGACGAUGGUAAGAAGAAGCCCGAAAGCUUUUCGUGUUGGCCGGCAGAUUCUCUAAUUCUGGCCACUUCUCGGAGACGGACGGGAAGCGGCAGCUUCCUCUCGACCUUGCCGAUCUAUCUAUGGUGCAUGUUUUUCCAGAUGAUAAGGUAUGAGAAAGAAUCAAAGCCAGUAAGCUUCGGUGCUUCUGGCGGGUUUUCUUGCUUUUCCGGCAACUUCGGCCAUUAUCUUCGACGAGUAAAGUUAAUCUGUGUACUUUCCGGCGACGAUUAGCUUCAAACCAGGUAUAUCAAAUAUCAUCUAAUCAGCAAGUUCUAACCUAAGAGUACGAUUUUGAUUGUUGAUUAUGCUUGAAUUCAAGAAAUGGAGGAGUAAUUGAACUCCAAAAUGGGAAUGGUUACUUUGAUUUUCACCAAAGGCAUGAGAGAGAAUCGAAGGGGAGAAGAAUUUUGGAAUUCCCGGCGAGUUUCCAUGUUUUUCGCCGACCAUUCUGUUUUAGUUUGCUUGUAAUUAUUGUCUUUUGAAGAUUAUGCUUUCUGGGAUUUGAUUUUUGUGUGAAAUAAACAGAUGGGAGAGAUAUAUUCAUCGAUUAAGGGAAGAGAAACAGAGGAAACUGAUAGCGGAAUGGUUAGUCUGAAGACUCCACUCCAAACUUGAAUAGGCCAGAGGGGACGCGAGAGAGAGAAUUCUGGGUUUGAAUGGGGCCGUGAGAGAGAGAGAGAGGGGGUGAAAUGUUUAGAUAAAAAAAUAAUGGAUUAAGACAUGAAAAGACGAAAAAAUCUUUAACGGAGCUAAAUGCUCCAGGUUACGGAGCUAACAACUUCAUGUAUUAAUCUUCGGCCGGGGUCAGAACUUCAUGUAUCAUUCUGAUAUUAUAUGAACAUGAGAUACAAAAGUUUAGAAUGGGUCAAACAUCAAGUAUUGUACGGAUGAUUUUCCCAUGAUUUGAAAAAUAUAUAAAUGAAGAAUUAGUGUGCAAUUUGUUUAUUUUGGGUCGUUUAGGUUCAGAAAUUCUGAAAAAAAAAGAACAUGUUGUAAAUAUUAUUAUCUUUGUGGCUGUCCACGUAAAUACUCAUUAGUUAUGUACUUUGAUGUAAACUCUACCUCUAUAUAAAGGAGGCUAAUGAGACUGAAUGAGAACACUUCUACUUCUCCCAAC